AUUGAACGCUGGCGGCAUGCCUUACACAUGCAAGUCGAACGGCAGCGGGCCCUUCGGGGUGCCGGCGAGUGGCGAACGGGUGAGUAAUGCAUCGGAACGUACCCGGGAGAGGGGGAUAACCGGCCGAAAGGCUGGCUAAUACCGCAUGAACUCGGAAGAGCAAAGCGGGGGACCUUCGGGCCUCGCGCUCUCGGAGCGGCCGAUGUCCGAUUAGGCUAGUUGUUGGGGUAAAGGCCCACCAAGGCGACGAUCGGUAGCGGGUCUGAGAGGACGAUCCGCCACACUGGGACUGAGACACGGCCCAGACUCCUACGGGAGGCAGCAGUGGGGAAUCUUGGACAAUGGGCGCAAGCCUGAUCCAGCAAUGCCGCGUGGGUGAAGAAGGCCUUCGGGUUGUAAAGCCCUUUCGGCGGGGAAGAAAUCGGUCAGGCGAAUAGUCUGGCCGGAUGACGGUACCCGCAGAAGAAGCACCGGCUAACUACGUG
rnacentral:rRNA from 1 species